rnacentral:rRNA from 1 species
AACGAACGCUGGCGGCAGGCUUAACACAUGCAAGUCGAGCGCCCCGCAAGGGGAGCGGCAGACGGGUGAGUAACACGUGGGGAUCUGCCCGAUGGUACGGAAUAAUUCCGGGAAACUGGGACUAAUACCGUAUGUGCCCGCAAGGGGAAAGAUUUAUCGCCAUCGGAUGAACCCGCGUCAGAUUAGCUAGUUGGUGUGGUAAAGGCGCACCAAGGCGACGAUCUGCAGCUGGUCUGAGAGGAUGAUCAGCCACACUGGGACUGAGACACGGCCCAGACUCCUACGGGAGGCAGCAGUGGGGAAUAUUGGACAAUGGGCGCAAGCCUGAUCCAGCCAUGCCGCGUGAGUGAUGAAGGCCUUAGGGUUGUAAAGCUCUUUCACCGAUGAAGAUAAUGACGGUAGUCGGAGAAGAAGCCCCGGCUAACUUCGUGCCAGCCGCCGCUGUAAAAC